rnacentral:rRNA from 1 species
UNUGACUUGAGUGCAGAAGGGGAGAGUGGAAUUCCAUGUGUAGCGGUGAAAUGCGUAGAUAUAUGGAGGANCACCAGUGGCGAAAGCGGCUCUCUGGUCUGUCACUGACGCUGAGGCUCGAAAGCGUGGGUAGCGAACAGGAUUAGAUACCCUGGUAGUCCACGCCGUAAACGAUGAGUGCUAGGUGUUAGGCCCUUUCCGGGGCUUAGUGCCGGAGCUAACGCAAUAAGCACUCCGCCUGGGGAGUACGACCGCAAGGUUGAAACUCAAAGGAAUUGACGGGGGCCCGCACAAGCGGUGGAGCAUGUGGUUUAAUUCGAAGCAACGCGAAGAACCUUACCAGGUCUUGACAUCCCGAUGCUAUUCUUAGAGAUAGGAAGUUACUUCGGUACAUCGGAGACAGGUGGUGCAUGGUUGUCGUCAGCUCGUGUCGUGAGAUGUUGGGUUAAGUCCCGCAACGAGCGCAACCCUUAUUGUUAGUUGCCAUCAUUAAGUUGGGCACUCUAGCGAGACUGCCGGUAAUAAACCGGAGGAAGGUGGGGAUGACGUCAAAUCAUCAUGCCCCUUAUGACCUGGGCUACACACGUGCUACAAUGGUCGGUACAACGAGUUGCGAGCCGGUGACGGCAAGCUAAUCUCUGAAAGCCGAUCUCAGUUCGGAUUGGAGGCUGCAACUCGCCUCCAUGAAGUCGGAAUCGCUAGUAAUCGCGGAUCAGCACGCCGCGGUGAAUACGUUCCCGGGCCUUGUACACACCGCCCGUCACACCACGAGAGUUUGUAACACCCGAAGUCGGUGAGGUAACCUUUU